rnacentral:lncRNA from 1 species
GUGAAAUUGAAAAAUUCCGAUCAUGAAAUUGUACUAUGAGACCGCAUAGUACUAUCCAAUGUAGUCAUAUAGUAUGCUAUUCUUCCCAGCUGAAUUCUCUGCAAAUGGGUAUGCAGUCGCAUGGUUUGACCAACUAUGCCGCUGCAUAGUUCCGCCGGUCUGGACCUUUGUCCACUGAUCAUGUUGAACCAAUCUGUUUUCGCUCUCAGACCUAACAUGAAACUUGCUGAUUUACUUAUCAUGAUCAAUGUUUCGUCCAUCAUAUAUUGAGCAAGUAAUCUCAUUGGUUCUUUAACCAUCUUCACUCGCGACCUAGUCAUCGGUCGUUCUUCAACAUCAACGUAUCCUUACUCGGACUUGCCUUCGUUCCUUGGAUCACAUCAAUAAGUCCCACAAAAAGAUAUUUAAAUCACUUUCUAUGGGUUUGAAUAGUAUCUUUUGAGAAUAGAUUUAUUUGAUUUUCGAUUGCUAAAGUUUGUUCAAGGGUUUUGAUAACAUAAUCCUGACGAAAAUCAAUUUUUCUAUUUCAUAGAUAGAACCCAGGUUUACGUUUGGAAUAGUCCAAUCAUAUAGUAUUUGUUCAAUUUGAACGAUUUGAAGUUAUGAGAAUCGAAAGUAUCUAAUGCAGGUGCAUGUUCUUGAUCUAAUUCUUCUUCAUCAUGAAAAGUGCUUGAAAAAUCAUUAGUUUUACCAUUUGAUCUCCUGAACCAAUUAGAAAUUAAAGACAUAAAAUGAAGCUAUAAUGAGACACCACAGUAGAUACGGUGCUACAUGAUAGAUUGAAUCCUACCACAGGAUCACCCCAUGCUUACACGGCUUCAUUGGCUAACCAACGCUAUUCAACUAGUUUCAGGCUAACCAACUUUUCCCUUGAAAUAUUAUAUGUACAAGGAAAAUUUAAUGUUCUUAUUUUGAACAAAUUUAUCAACAUCAAGAAGACUUUGAUGUUGAAACCAAUUCAAAUUCAUCAUUCUCUACAAGUCAAGGUAAAAAAGUUUGUACGUUUAAAUCUAUAAAUG